AGAGUUUGAUCCUGGCUCAGGAUGAACGCUGGCGGCGUGCCUAACACAUGCAAGUCGAACGAGGCAAAUAAGUUGAAGUUUUCGGAUGGAUUCUUAUUUACCGAGUGGCGGACGGGUGAGUAACGCGUGGGUAACCUGCCUCAUACAGGGGGAUAACGGUUAGAAUGACUGCUAAUACCGCAUAAGCGCACAGUACCGCAUGGUACGGUGUGAAAAACUCCGGUGGUAUGAGAUGGACCCGCGUCUGAUUAGCUAGUUGGUGGGGUAACGCCACAAGGCGACGAUCAGUAGCCGACCUGAGAGGGUGACCGGCCACAUUGGGACUGAGACACGGCCCAGACCUCCUACGGGAGCA
rnacentral:rRNA from 1 species